ACUACUUAUUGAUGCUAAUUGCGUGCCGUUGAAAUUAUUUACCCGCCAAUUCUAGAAGGUCACGAAGGACAGUAUCAAAAGACAAAGCUAUUUAUGUAUUUAUCUUUCAGAACACGGACAAAGGGGGAGGGAGGAGGGACCAAGGACGGAUAUAGUACACAGACAGACACAAAGAAACACAGACAUACACACAUACAGACGAAGGUAUUGUUUGGUAAUGUCUUCGAAGCUACACUUAUAUUUAGCUACAAUUGCACCCAUAUAGUAAAUUACACCCAUAGUCACACCCGCUAAAUAUACCCAUGCUAUACGAUACAUACCCAAAACUCAAUUCAUCGUAAUUAUUUGUGCGCUGAAAACGAGUAAAUAGUGUUCGCUAGAUUCUUAUUUGUUUGUUUAUUUGCUUGGUCCUGUUUGAAUCGUCUUUAAAAACUCCUAUAAUUACACUCAAUACACCCAAGAACACGUAAGCUUAGUAACAGGAUGUAGGAUUUCAGGUUCAGGGAGACGGUGGCGCAGUGGUUAACAUGGUGAGGCCGAGGACCCAGGUUCGACUCCCACCGAUGCACACUCACAAUUUUCAAUCCAUAUCCUGCCCAGUGAUAAAAAGAGCUACGGAUUUCAAUGAGUGCGUAGUAUGUGCUUUUAAUCUCCCUCUCGGUAAACAAAGCUAGGUACAUUGCGUGAAGAACUAUAUAAGAACACCGACCCAGAUCUUGUCUACCCUUAACACAGCGAUUUCAUUCAAGAGGAUCACCGGGGGCAGCAUAGGGCAAGCAAGAGAGUCAUAUAUCACGAUAGCCACUAUAAAUUAAAUCCCCCCGCUGCACUGUCGGUUUGGGCCCAUCCAAGAGACCCCCUCAAGAGAGCUUACCGGCGCUAUAGGAAGCAUUUACCCUUGAUACAUUGGGCACAUCUGGAUCACAAGAGCGAAGUGUGGUUAUUGAAGGAUCAGAAGGAGGUCAUUUUGGAUACGGGAGGAUCAUAAGAGGAUAAAUUGGGUAAGCGGAGGUUCAGAAGAGGAUGAAUUGGAUACAGAAAAAUCAGAAGGGGUCAUUUUGGAUAUAGAAGGAUCAGAAGAGGAUAGAAUGGGUACAGAAGGAUUAGAAGAGGAUGAAUUGGAUACAGAAGAAUCAGAAAAGGUCAUUUUGGAUACAGGAGGAUAACAAGGGGAUAAAAUAGGUACAGAAGGAUAACAAGAUAUUUUUGGAUACAGAAUUAUCAGAAUAGGAUGAAUUGGAUACAGAAGAAUCAGAACAGGAUAAAUUGGGUACCGAAGGAUAACAAAGAGGUCAUUUUGGAUACAGGAGGAUAACAAGAGGAUAAAAUAGAUACAGAAGGAUAACAAGAAGAUAUUUUUGGAUACGGAAGGAUCAGAAUAGGAUAAACUGGGUACCGAAAAAUCCCAAAGAGGUCAUUUUGGAUACAGGAGGAUAACAAGAGGAUACAAUAGGAACAGAAGGAUCAGAAUAGGAUAAAUUGGAUACAUAAAGGUCAUAAGAGGUCACGCUAACGGGUUUAAGUGACACAUGUGUAUACCUUGACACUUAUAUAAGUAUAGGAAUCAUAACCUUGGGAAUACACUUACGGUACACUUUUUGACACUUAUAAGGAAUCGAAUUACACUUAGAUUCAUACAUGUAUUUUUUUAUCUUGUAAAAUAAAGGAAAUUAAAAGAGAAAAAAAAAUAAUUGUCAUGGUUAGAGAGAGAGAGAGAGAGAGAGAGAGAGAGAGAGAGAGAGAGAGAGAGAGAGAGAG